rnacentral:rRNA from 1 species
GUAGGGAAUAUUGCGCAAUGGGGGAAACCCUGACGCAGCGACGCCGCGUGAGUGAUGAAGGCCUUCGGGUCGUAAAGCUCUGUUGCAGGGGAAUAAAAAAAUGAAGGUACCCUGUGAGGAAGGAUCGGCUAACUUCGUGCCAGCAGCCGCGGUAAGACGAGGGAUCCUAGCGUUGCUCGGAAUCAUUGGGCGUAAAGAGGGCGUAGGUGGCUGGGUAAGUCAGGUGUGAAAGCCCAGGGCUCAACCCUGGAAGUGCAUUUGAUACUGCUGAGCUUGAGUGUCGGAGAGGUUACCGGAAUACCUGGUGUAGUGGUGAAAUACGUAGAUAUCAGGUGGAACACCGGAGGCGAAGGCGGGUAACUGGACGAACACUGACACUGAGGCCCGAAAGCGUGGGGAUCAAACAGGAUUAGAAACCCUAGUAGUCC